rnacentral:rRNA from 1 species
UACGUAGGGUGCGAGCGUUGUCCGGAAUUAUUGGGCGUAAAGAGCUCGUAGGCGGUGUGUCGCGUCGGUCGUGAAAACUUGGGGCUUAACCCUGAGCUUGCGGUCGAUACGGGCAUCACUGGAGUUCGGCAGGGGAGACUGGAAUUCCUGGUGUAGCGGUGAAAUGCGCAGAUAUCAGGAGGAACACCGGUGGCGAAGGCGGGUCUCUGGGCCGAUACUGACGCUGAGGAGCGAGAGCGUGGGGAGCGAACAGG